AUGGAGAAAUGGGAGUUUGAAGGUGAUAUCCACCUCUGUCUGCAUUUCUCAUCCACAGAGUCCCGGGGAACAGCCCCAAGAGACCCGAGGGGCAGUCGGCCAUCUCCUAUGACUACUCAGAAGAGGAGCUCAUGGCGAGCAUUGAGCGGGAGUACUGCCGCUAAGCUGGACAAGCAGCCCUGGGCAUCACUGGCCUUGCAGGUGGGGAAGGGUCAACCCCUCUUGGCAUCUGUGCCACAGGCUUCUAGAAGUUUCCACCAAGGUAUGUUCUCAGUCUUCACACUAAGGUUUCUCCAGAGCGAUGCAGUUUCCUCCGUGUAUGUCAGUUUCCAAGUAUCCGGAUGGCAGGCAGAUGAUGAGUGUGUAGGUCUAGAUGGGUCCAGAGAUUGUAUUUCUGACAGCUUCGAGGUAAUGGCAAGCUGCAAGGACUGAAGAGCUUCAGCGUGUACAAGGGACUCAGAGCCUUAGCUUCUCCCUUCUGUGUGCUGGGGGCUCCUCCAAGCCACAGUGUAGCAGUCUCCCCUGCUUGGAUGUAGCAGGAAGAGAGAGGGCUGGGAACCACAGACUUCUUUGGCAUCCUGGUAUUACAUUAGCUUGCUACCAUUUCCCUCUCUGGGCCUCUCAGUUUCUCUCUUGGGGAGAAUCCUGGAGGUUCUUUGAGGUCUUUCAAGCUCUAUUAGUUUGGCAGCUAGACAAACUGAGGGUUUGUGUCAGAAAAGGGGGUAGAGAAUAGGGAAACAACGGCAACUUUUGCUAAGGUCAAAACAGGUCUCGGUUUAUGUUGCAUCCCCGGACCAAGACAGUGGCCUUCAUCAGCAUCUUCCCUCUCCUGAGAACAGCUGCCAGUCCAUGAAUCCUCAGAACACAACCUAGAGUAUCUCAGGAACCAAGGAAGAAUGGUCACUGAGACCGUCCCCACACCCUCGGUCCUUUGCUGUCACCUGCAAAUGAUUCCAUGAACUCGUGACUUGACAAGAGUACCUUUGAGUACUUGGCUGAGAGACUGCAACAGUUGGAGCCCAGAGCCAUGGAGUGUCUACCAAACGGCUGAGGGUCGGGUCAAAACCUCCCAGAGCUAGCAACUGUAUCUUACUGGAGCCCAAAGGACUGCUUUUGCUAUGAAAAUGAAGCUGUUUCUAUUUUGAUAACACAAAUAUUAAAAAUGCUUAUUUUAAAAAAGGUU
rnacentral:lncRNA from 1 species